rnacentral:tRNA from 1 species
GUACCGGCGUGGCCGGCGUCCCCACCAGUGCCGCCGUUGCCGCCGGCGGGCGCGACGGUGCCGCCGGUUCCGAUGUCGGCGCCGGCGUU